rnacentral:rRNA from 1 species
AAUAUUGGGUAAUGCCCGAAAGGGUGACCCAGCAACGCCGCGUGGAGGAUGAAGGUCGUAAGAUUGUAAACUCCUGUUAGAGGGGACGAAUAACUAAGUUUGGAGCUUAGUAUGACUGUACCCUCAGAGAAAGCCCCAGCUAACUACGUGCCAGCAGCCGCGGUAAUACGUAGGGGGCAAGCGUUGUCCGGAUUUACUGGGUGUAAAGGGCGCGCAGGCGGACUGGAAAGUCAGUGGUGAAAUCCUACAGCUUAACGGUAGAACUGCCUUUGAUCCUGUCAUUUUUGAGUUUGGGAGAGAGUGGCGCAGUUACAGGUGUGGUGGUGAAAUAUGUAGAUAUCUGGA